rnacentral:rRNA from 1 species
AUACGGAGGAUCCGAGCGUUAUCCGGAUUUAUUGGGUUUAAAGGGUGCGCAGGCGGCCAUUUAAGUCAGCGGUUAAAUCGUGGGGCUCAACCCCAUUCUGCCGUUGAUACUGGGUGGCUUGAUUGCGGUCGAGGUUGGCGGAAUUCGUUGUGUAGCGGUGAAAUGCAUAGAUAUGACGAAGAACACCGAUUGCGUAGGCAGCUGACCAGACCGCAAAUGACGCUCAUGCACGAAAGUGCGGGGAUCGAACAGGAUUAGAUACCCUGGUAGUCCGCACAGUAAACGAUGAAUACUUGUUUUCGGCGAUAUAAUGUCGGAGGCAAAGCGAAAGCGAUAAGUACUCCACCUGGGGAGUACGCCGGCAACGGUGAAACUCAAAUGAAUUGGCGGGG